UGCGCGUUGCUCCGUUGUAAUUCUCUCUUCGUACGUGGCGCAUCGUAGGAAAAAAACGAUAGCAAAAGAAUAAUUGAGAGUCCCAUAAAUGUUGGUUGGAUUCGGUUUAUUCGCGUUGAAAGAGAUUUCGAAGGCUGUUCGCACCUACGUGAACUCUCAAACCAAACAAAUAUCAGCAACACCGUCAACGCCAAUUGCAUCUCGCAUCGCAGUGACGCAGCAGCGAUGAUGCGGUGCGGUAAUGAUGGGAGGGAGACUCGGGGAAAACUAAUAGUGUCAGAAGGAUCGUAGCUCUAGCCCCGCAAUUGUCCUGUACACUCAACAGUUGGCUGCGAAGUCUGUGUAUAACAAACAGAAGUUCAAAUUUCAAGACGGAAUGUAGCACCAAGGCAUUGCUUUACAUUAUCAAUACACAAAAUUUAAAAUUGUUAAAAAAGUUGUUUAAGUUAAUAUUUCCGAAAUCUUAUUUUUUGUUAUGUAAACACUAUAAACGGUUAGCUAAAUAUUUGUUGUCUGAUCAUGGCAAACUGAGAGAGAAAAAGUUACGAUGGCAGUUCGUAACGUUAAUGACUUUUGGCCGAUAGCUACAAUUUUCCACCGCCGUGCAUCGGAAAUUGCCAUUCUCCGCCACAAACAUUUGCCGAACUUUUUCGGAUACAUUAUUUUUUCUUAGCCCUUUGUCCAUCUUGACGCCUUAUACCGACAAAAGCUUCUAACCAACUAGCAAUUUGCACUUGCGCUUGCACCUACCAGCU